rnacentral:lncRNA from 1 species
ACCGAGUGUGGAAAUUGUGUGCUCAUAGCACUUAAACUAUUGGGAAUCUAGGCUUCCCCUGCAGCACUUGACAUGGCAAUUCAUGUCUGUGGAAACCCCUGGUAGUUGGAAGCUGGCUAAAGCUAGGGUUCUCUUAUUCAUUGGUUAAGGUAAGGACAUUUAUCAUUUAUGUGAAAUUUUCUGAUGAAUUUCUCUAUUGGUAGCUUUGGAAAAAGUCCUUGUGGAGGCAACUAGAGAGGCAGGCAACACUCAGUAAUAUGUCUGAAAUAAAUAUAGUAGUCAAGAUAUAUAAAGGAGCCUAAGGAGUAACAUUCUUAGCCAAAGCAUUCUGAGCUUCUGCCUUGAUAAUUAUGAUUUCUUAAGUGGAGUUAAAAAGAGUUGUACAGAAUACCUGUUCUACCCUAUUAUUGCUGUUUACAAGGGUUGGGUGUGAUGAGUAAAAGAAAUCUGGGUCAAAAUAAAAAAUGCUUUGUAAAAUAAACAAAGUUCCUAUUUACUUACUAUGUAUAAACAGCCACUCACCAAGCCUCAUUUCUCCGCAGGGCACCACUUUCAGAUAAAAACAUAGACCUGAAUAGCAUCAUCCAGUAUCCAAGGAAACCAUGUAAGUACCUCUCUCACUGUGUACUUCUCUUAUUCAGAGUUUAAAAGCUAGCUGAGUACUGAAUGAGUGAGUGUUUUUAUUUAAUAAUUAUACGGGAGGUAUUUUUUAGGAGCUUGCUAAAAAGAAACAGGUUCUUGAUUGUUAUGUGCGUCAUAACAAAACCCUUAUGUUUUCAUCAUAUUCCAUAAAAUUAUGUGUUUAGUCCCAACCUCUCCAUCAAUUCUCAUUCUUAGGUACAAAACAGCUACUCAAAGUUUUAAUGAAUUGAGAGUUUCAAACUUUUCCAAGACCCAUUAGUGUCUGAAAAACCAUGUUUCAGAGGCCUUGUGCCAGGAUUAGUUUCCUAAGUGUAAUAAAACAUUUUUUAAGUUUCAAAAAUGAAGAAAAAAUUGGUCAGAAAAGAAUAUCUUACUGGUAAACAGUAAUAGCAAUUAAUUUGGUUUUAGGCUUCUCGAGGAGUAAGCAUGUGAACUGAGAUGUGGUUAUCUAUUUAAACUCCACAGAGAAUCUUGAAAGAAAGUAUAAUUACCAAAAUGCAAAUAUAUAUUUGGGAAAAGGGUUGGGAGGCUGGUGUAUUAUUUUCUUUCUUUUUUUUCUUUCCAAAUUAAUGUACAUUUCUAUAGGUUAUUUCAAGGUUCAAAUUUAUUUUCAGAAGCUAUAAAAUCUAAUGUGGAAGUUUAGUUUCCAAGAAACACAUUGUCACUCUGGAGAAAGACCCUUUACUAAAAUAUUUGAAAUUUGUACUAAAAUAUUUCCUUAUCUGGAAUCAUUAUCUUUUUCAUAUUUGUACUAUCUACCUAUAAAAUCAAAUUAUUUUCAAUAGGAUGUGAUUAUUCAUGAUUAUUUAUAUACUUUUUCAUGAAAAUACUUAAUUUUUUCUUUAUGUUCAAGUAAUUUAGAAUUUCUUUUCUACCUUCUAGAUCUGCCAUAUGAUUUAUCUGGUCUUUUAAAUACAGAUAGCCAUAUUACUUUUCACUGGGGCUUUUGAGAAUUGCCUUUAAAUGCCCUGUGGUUUGUGUGUUUUUUAUAAUAUUUUCAUCUGUUUUUUGUUACAUGUGUCUUUCCAGUUUUCCUCUGCAGUAUGGUUCCUAGUAAAGCAUAAAUGACAGAGAGAAUCUUUCUUACGGUUUUUGGGACCCUUUAUGUUCAAUCUCUAACUGCAGGAACAGAGUUUGUUUAUCACAUAACUAUGUCAAAUUGCAUUCUUUAUUCAUUUCCAUGAUUCUUUUUAUAUGUUACAAAAAUGUACCUUUCUGAAUUGAGAGAUAAGAAGUUGUGUUAGGCUACACAAUUUGAUGGAACAUCUGAAGGGCAUAAAAACCUCUGAACCCAAUAAAAAUAUGAGACAAGGAAGUCAUGCUAGUUACAAACUUCCCAAGUAUGGAGUCCGAGGCCUGACAUGCUGCUAUCUAAAAUAGGAAUUCCUUGCUGCAAAAUAGAAGUUGAACUAUUGCUGGCCGAAGUUGGAAGCAGGGAAGGGUUAGAAUAGAGCUUUAUAAUGAAAGAAAGCACUAAUUGAAGAAAAGACUGACUAAUGGUAUAAUUCACUAUCUUGAGGAAAUGGAAUCAUUCUCAUGCAAGAAGAAAAAAAAUCUAUACUGAAAUGCUUGAGGCACAGCUUUAACUAUUUACAUCAGAAUAUAGAUUUUUCCAGAAAAAUCAUUUAAAUUUGAUAGAUUCAAUUCAACCUCUUACACCAAAGGGAAAAUUCUUUACACACACACACACACACACACACACACUCUUGAGAUUCUAUUCAACAGUAACUGGUCUCUCUACUGUGGACUGACAUUGUUCAGUAGAACUUUUUGUGAUGAUGGUCAUGUUGCAUGUGGACACUUUCAAAAUGCUAACCACUAGCCAUAUGUAGCCGUUGAGCAUUUGAAAUGUGGUUAGUGCAACAGAGAAACUGAAAUUGGAAUUUUAUUUAUAUUUAAUUUAUUACAGUUAUAGAGCCUCCAUGUGACUAGUGGCUAUAAUAUUAGACAACAUAAUUCUAGUCUAGAUCACAUUUUUAAAUGUGGAGAGAUUAAAAUCUGUAUAGAUAUAAUAUUAUUGUCAAUUAUUUCUUAUCUGCAUAUCAUUAUCAUGGACCAUAACUCAAAUCAUUAAUGCUUAAAGAACAAAUGUACUUCAACAUUAUUUAGUUGAAUUUUAAGAAAUAUUGUCAUAUGAUCAACUGAAUUUCAGAAAGUAAUAUUUUGCUUUCAUGAGAAAUUAAAAUACCCUUUUCAAAAAAAUUCAAUUCUUUGGUAUUCUGAAAUACAAUAUUAUUUUUUUACAUUUACUUAAGUAUUUGGAUUAUCAUUGCACUAGAAUUUCUCUACAACAUUUUCCCAGAGAUAAAUGUUUUUAAUAUUGUUAGAAAGACAUUAGAUUAUUGCUGUAUAAGCCUAGGGUAGCAAAUUUUAAAAUGGCCUUUAUAAACAUGAUCACAUAAAAAAGAUACUGUAGUGUAUGUUCUAACUACCAUGAUAAAUAUUUUUGAAAAGUUCAGUUACAAUUUCUGUAAUAAAUCUUGCAAAUAAUUUUCAAAAUGUAACCAGCCUACAUAAAUGCUGACUACCCUUGUUUCUCCAUAGCUGAUUCUGCUCCCAAAACACACAUCAGAAUUUAAAUCUGCUCCUAUGACCUUUUUAGGCAUUUAGUGAAAGUGAACAUUAGGAUACAUGAUGAUAUUUUUAUAGUAAUGGUAGCAUGGUAAUAUUAUAAGCAAAAUACUGAUUUACAAAUUAUAUCACAAAUUUUAAAUUUGCAUUGAUUAAAAAAUCAGUCAAUUCAUUUAUUGAAUGCUGAUUAUUAGUAGGACAUUGAACUAGAGACCAUGAAAAAUAUAUUUUAAAAUUGGUGACCCAAAUAUGUGCCGUGGCACAUCCCCAUAAUCCCAGCGGCUUGGGAGGCUGAGGCAGGAGGAUCUAGAGUUCAAAGCCAGCACCAACAAAAGUGAGGCACUAUGCAACUCGGUGAGACUCUAUCUGUAAAUAAAAUAUAAAAUAGGGCUAGGGAUGUGGUUCAGUGGUUGAGUGCCCGAGUUCAAUUCCUAGUACACCACACAAAAAAAAUGAUGACCCAGCAUUUACCCUAUAGGAGCUACAUUUGUUAGACUUGGUCAACUCCUUUUGGAUGGAUAGGAUUCAGAUAAGAAGAAAGAGAAGUGUUUUUGUUUGUUUAUUUUUGGCAAAACCUUGGAUAAGCUACUUAGAAUGCCCCUCCUACUGCAAAACAACUAGAUUCUGGAUAAAACGUAGUUUCUAAUGAUUUAUUUGACUUGAAGGAAAUUUUUGAACAUCUUCAAAGAUUCUUCUUCCUCACCUCAAAACUAAAAACCAAAAAAGUGUGAAUUGAAGACUGUAGUUAAGAGCAAUAAAUGGCAAACAGGAAAGGCAGGAAUGGCCAAAUGGAAUGCAUGGGUUAUAUGUGCAAAGAUAUUGUUAAAAGGAGAGCAGUCAUAUGCUCUAUUAGGUUUCUCAGAAACUGGUCUUAUUUCAAAAUAGGGAGAACUAACAACCACAUUUGUGGACCCACAUUUUGUGUCUCAUUUUAUGUCUUUUCAUGUGUUCAGUAAUAUAAUCAGGCACAUCAUAUUGACUUAUCUACUUUCAGAAAAAAAAAGGCCUAUCUUUGCUCAGAAAUCAGUGUUCUGAGUGGAGAAAACAUGGCUCUUCACUAAGGAAAUCUCUACGAAUCAGUCUUCAAUAAUCUUGUGAAAUCCUUGUCUGCUAUCUGUAUGUAUAUCUGAGAAAGUGUUUUCAUUCAGAACUAUGGACUGUGAGCUCUGAGACCUUAAACUCAAACUCAAUUUAUUCUGUAUUUGUUUAUGUAGUAUUAUUUAUCUUUUUACUAUGAACAUCCCCCAAAUAUUAAAAAGUGAAAAUAAUAGUGUAAUGAAUUUUGUAAACCUGCAACUCCAAUCAGAAACUAUCAUCACAUGGAUAUUUUGUUUCAUCAUUCUCUGUCUGCUUCUCACCUCCACCCCAAAUUAUUUUGAAGUUAAUAUCAAAUAUAACAAUUUCAUGUUAGUAAUUCAGGAGGCAUUAAGACUUUUUAAAAAAUUUAUUUAUUUAUUUUAAUUAGGUACAUAUGACAACAGAAUGCAUUUUGAUUCAUUUUCCACAUUGCAGCACAACUUUUCAUUUCUGAUUGUACACUAUGUAGUGUUGCACCAUACGCAGAGUCAUACAUGUGCAUAGUGUAAUAAUGUCCAUCACAUUCCACCAUAGGAGGCCCAUACCUCCUCCCUUCUUCUCUCUCCCCCUUGCCCAAUCAAAGUUUUUGAUACAUUUUUUUCCCAUGCCCCUUCCCCCCGCAUUAUGGAUCAGCAUCUACUUAUCAGAGAGAACACUCAGCUUUGGUUUUUUGGGAUUGGCUUUCUUUGCUUAGCAUGAUUCUCCAAUUCCAUCCAUUUCCCUGCAAAUGCCAUAAUUUUUUUCUCUUUUAAAGCUGAGUAAUAUUCUGUUGUGUAUAUAUACCACAGUUUACUUAUCCAUUCAUCUAUUGAAGGGCCAUCUAGGUUGCUUCCACAGUUAGCUAUUGUGAAUUGAGCUGCUAUAAACAUUGAUGUGGCUGUGUUACUAUAUAUAGUAUGCUGAUUUUAAGUUCUUUGGGUAUAAACUGAGGAGUGAGAUAGCUGGGUCAAAUUGUGAUUCCAUUCCAAGUUUUAUAAGGAAUUUCCAUAUUGCUUUCCAGGCUGGUUGCACCAAUUUGCAGUGCCAUCAGCAAUGUAUGAGUGUGACUUUCCCUCCACAUCAUUGCCAACACUUAUUGUUACUUGUAUUCUUAAUAGGUGCCAUUCUGACUGGAGUGAGAUGAAAUCUUAGAUUAGUUUUGAUUUGCAUUUCUCUAAUUAGUAGAGAUGUUGAACAUUUUUUCAUAUAUUUGUUGAUUCAUUGUAUAUCUUCUUCUGAGAAGUAUCUGUUCAGUUUCAUAGCCCAUUUAUUGAUUGGGUUGUUUGUUUUUUGGGUGUUAAGGUUUUUUAGUUCUUUAUAUAUCCUAGAUAUUAGUGCUCUAUCUGAUGUGUGUAUGGCAAAAAUUUGCUCUCAAAAUGUAGGCUCUGGGCUGGGGAUGUGGCUCAAGCAGUAGCGUGCUUGCCUGGCAUGCAUACGGCCCGGGUUCGAUCCUCAGCACCACAUACAAACAAAGAUGUUGUGUCCACCAAGAACUAAAAAAUAAAUAUUAAAAUUGUCUCUCUCUCUCUCUCUCUCUCUUAAAAAAAUGUAGGCUCUCUCUUCACCUCAUUGAUUGUUUCUUUUGCAGAGAAGAAGCUUUUUAGUUGAAUCCAUUCCAUUUAUUAAUUCUUGAUCUUAUUUCUUGUGCUUUAGAAGUCUUGUUAAGGAAGUUGAGGCCUAAUCCAACGUGAUGAAGAUUUGAGCAUACUUUUUCCUUUAUUAGGCACAGAGUAUCUAGUCUAAUUCCUAGGCCCUUGAUCCACUUUGAGUUGAGUUGCAUGGUAAGAGAUAGGGGUUUUAGUUUCACUUUGCUACAUAUGGAUUUCCAGUUCUCCCAGAACCAUUUGUUGAAGAGGCUAUCUUUUCUCUAAUAUAUGUUUUUGGCGCCUUUGUCUAGUAACUGUAUUAUGUGGGUUUGUCUCUGUGUCCUCUAUUCUGUACCAUUGAGCUACAUAUCUAUUUUGGUGCCAAUACCAUGCUGUUUUUGUUACUAUAGCUUUGUAGUAUAGAUUAAGGUCUGGUAUUGUAAUACCUCCUGCUUCAUUAUUCUUUCUAAGGAUUACUUUGACUAUUCUGGGUCUCUUAUUUUUCCAAAAGAACUUCAUGACUGCUUUUUCUAUUUCUAUAACGAAUGACGUUGGGAUUUUAAUUGGAAUUGCAUUGAAUCAGUAUAGCACUUUGGGUAGUAUGGCCAUUUUGACAACAUUAAUUUUGCCUGUUCAAGAGCAUGGGAGAUCUUUCCAUCUUCUAAGGUCUUCUUCAAUUUCUUUCUUUAGUGUUCCGUAGUUUUCAUUGUAGAGGUCUUUCACCUUUUUUGUUGAUUUCCAAGUAUUUAAUUAAUUAAUUUAUUUAUUUUGAGGCUAUUGUGAAUGGGGUUGUAUUCUAAAUUAUUUUUUAGAGGAUUCAUCACUGAUGUAUAGAAAUACAUUUUACUUAUUGGUAUUGAUUUUAUAUCUUGCUACUUUGCUGAAUUCAUUAAUUAAUUCUAGAAGUUUUGGGGUGGAGUUUUUUGAAUCCUCUAAGUACAGAUAGAAUCAUGUCAUCAGUGAAUAAUGAUAGUUUGAGUUCUUCUAUUCCUAUUUGUAUCCCUUUAAUUUCUUUCAUCUCUUUAAUUGCUCUGGCUAGAGUUUCAAGGACUAUGUAGAACAGAAGUGGUGAAAGAGGACAUCACUCUCUUCUUCCAGUUUUUAGAGGGAAUGCUUACAAUUUUUCUCCAUUUAGAAUGAUUUUGCCCUUGGGUUCAGCAUAGAUAGCUUUUACAAUGUUGAGCUAUGUUCCUACUAUCCCUAGUUUUUCUAGUGUUUUGAACAUGAAAGGGUGCUGUAUUGUGUCAGAUGCUUUUUCUGCAUCAAUUGAUAUAAUCAUAUGAUUCUUAUUUUUUAUUUUAUUGAUGUGAUGAAUUAUAUUUAUUGAUUUCUGUAUGUUGAACCAUCCUGCAUCCCUGGAAUGAAUCCCACUUGACCAUGGUGCACUAUUUUUUAAAUAAGUUUUUGUAUGCAAUUUGCUGUGAUUUUAUUGAGAAUUUUUGCAUCAAUGUUCAUCAGAGAUAUUGGUCUAAAAUUUUCUUUCCUUGAUGUGUAGAGACACAUCAAGGUUUUGGUAUCAGGAUGAUACUAGCUUCAUAGAAUGAGUUUGGAAGGGUUCCCUCCUUUUCUAUUUCAUGGAAUAAUUUGUGGAGUAUUGGUAUUAAUUCUUUUUGUUGGUCUUGUAGAACACAGAUGUGAAUCCUUAUGGUCCUGGACUCUUCUUGGUUGGUAGGCUUUUGAUGGUAUCUUCUAUUUCUUUGUUUGAAAUUGAUCUAUUUAAAUUGUGUAACUCCUUUUGACUCAGUUUUGGUUGAUUAUAUGCCUCUAGAAAUUUGUUGAUGUCUUCAAGGCUUUCUAUUUUACUGGAAUAUAAAUUUUCAAUAUAAUUUCUAAUUGUCUUCUGUAUUUCAAUAGUGUCUUUUACGAUAUGUCAUUUUUCAUUACGGAUUUUCAUAAUUUGAGUUUUCUGUCUCCUUCUUUUCAUUAGGGUGGCUAAGUGUUUGUCAAUUUUAUUUAAUUUUUCAAAGAACCAGCUUUUUGUUUUGUCAAUUUAAAAAAAUAUUAUAUUAUUUUCUUAGGUGUAGAUGGACACAACAUAAUACAUGUUUUUUUUUACCAUCUUCACUGUGAUCAACUUUAUUUUCAAGAUUGUAUAUUUUGUCUUCAUUAUCUCACAUUCUAUCUUCCAAGUGAUCUAGUCUGUUGGUGAUGAUUUCUAUUGAGUUUUUAUUUCAUUUAUUGUUUCCUUCAUUUCAAGGAUUUCUAAUUUUUUAAUUUAUUUUUUGCCCUGCUCCUUAUUUCUUUGUUGUUGUGAUAAAUAGUUGCCCAUAUUUGCUCUUUUAUCUCUUUGUUGGAGUGAUAAAUUUUUGCCUGUAUUGCUCACUUUGGUCAUUCUUUAAUUCGUGGAUCAUUUUAAUUAUGUACAUUCUGAACUCCUUCUCUGAGAUUCCAUUAACUGUGCUGUCUAUGGAUUCUAUUAUUGCAGUAUAUUGGUUUGUUUGGGGAACUUUCCUCCUUUGUUUUUUCAUGAUUUAUAUGCGUCUCCCUUUUUUGAAAUGCAGAUCUGAGAUAUUACAGUUUCUACCCUAUAAUCAUGUAGUGUCCCCGCAGAUUACCUGUACCUCAGCAAGGUAUUGGACUUCUAGUCCCUAGUCGGUGUCCCACGAAAAUUGCUACUGCAACUAAAGGUGGUGGUGUUAAUAGUGGAGGUAACUCAAAUAGCAGUAGGGGUUUUCCAAGAUGGCUGCAACCACUUUCAGAGAUGGGGCUGAAAGGGUGGGUUGCCUAUUCGGAGAUGCAGCUGCCUCCAGGCCCUAUCUAUUGUCCCAAGGUGUAGACUACUGCCUGCGGAAGGCUAUGGCAAUGUCUGCAGUGUCCCAAGUAAGAGGUGGGCUAGGCCUGGGCUCCAGUGUGGGUCUGCUGGUUGGCAGCGUGGUCUAGGUCCUAAUCUUGGCCUUGGCUCCCACAAAACUUGUUAUUUAUUUAUUUAAAUUAGGUAUAUAUGACAGUAGAAUGCAUUUUGAUUCAUUGUACUCAUUGCAACACAACUUUUUUUUUUUUAAUGCUGGGAAAUGAACUUUAUCUAAAAAGUUUAUCACACCAAAAAUGUUGAUAUUUCUUUACUAUCCUCAGAUACACAAAGCCAAUAUUCAAACUUUCCUAUUUGUAUAGUUUUUCUAUACUUUAUACUUUUGGAAGCAGAACUCAAAUAAGGUCCAUAUUGCAAUUGGUUAAUGUGUCUCUCUUCUUUUCAUCUACAGUUUUUCGUGUAUUUUCUUUAUUUGUUGAAAAAAACUGAAUUGUUUGUGUUGUGAAUCUUUCCAUAGUCUGAAUUUGCUGAUUCCCACGGAGAUGUUUAAUAACAUCCCCUGUCCUGUGCCUUACCUUUUUUUUUUGGGGGGGGGGUUGUUUUAAAGUUUGUUGUUGUUGUUGUAGAUGGACACAAUACCUUUAUUUUAUUUAUUUAUUUUAUAUGGUGCUGAGUAUUAAACCCAGUGCUUCACACAUGCUAGGCAAGUGUUCUACCACUGAGCCACAACCAUAGCCCCCUGUGCUUUUCCUUUUAAUUAACUGUUGUAAUUAAGACUAAAAAUCUGAUCAUAUUUAUUUAGGGGAGGGAAGGCAAAACUACUGUUUUCUUUCUCUUUGGGUGUUAGCAGAUGUUGAUGAUCAUUGCUUAAAUUCAUUUAUUCCUAGAGUUUGUAAGAAUAGUAAUAUAAUUCUAUCAUAUCUGCUUCAUUUAUUAUCAAGAAUUCUUCUUUAUAGAUAAACUAGUUUGUUAUUUUGAGUUUCAAUUUAUGUAAGAAAAUCAGAAUAAAUUCUUAAUUUGUUCUGUUAAUUUGUAAGUUCUUAGCACAAUGUAAAGAGUUUCUAACCAUCCUCAAAAGGUAAUCAAUGGGGCUGGGGAUAUAGCUCAGCUGGUAGAAUUCUUGCCUUGCAUGCCCAAGGCCCUGGGUUCAAUCCUCUGCAUCACACAUACACACACACACACACACACACAGACGCACAAAAUGUAAUCAAUAUUAUUCUUAAAAUGUCAUUAUGAACAUUGAUGUGUUUCAAUUAUUACAGUUGUUAAUGCCUAUGAAUGCCCAUAUUUUUACGUCUUUGGUUACUCAGUCUAUUUCAGUUGAUUCCUAUUUAUUUAAAAAAAUUUGUAGUUGUAGAUGGACAGAAUACCUGAAUUUUAUUUGUUCAUUUAUAUGUGGUGCUAAUGAUUGAACCCAGUUUCUCACACAUGGUAGGUAAGCACUCUGCCAGUGAGCCCUAUCCCAGCCAUGUUCCUAUAUAUUUUUGAAAGAACCUCAAGUUUUUGAAAAUUUCCAUGAUAAUGAUAUGACAAAAUUUAACAGGCUUAUCUUGGACUUUUCCUUUCCAAAUCUGGAAGCAGGCAAUUUUCUAAGAAGUUGUAUUUCUUUUUUUUAUGAAUUUUGUCUUGGAAAUUGUACUUAAAAACUAUGUUCUUGAAAUUAGGAGAGCUCAUUUUUACUCACAUGGCCCUUAGUCUAGGUCUUUUCAAAGGAAAGAGCUAGAAUAUAUGUUCUUUUAAUUUUUUUUUUUUUUUUGGUGCUAGGAAUUGAACCCAAGGAUGCUUAACCACUGAGUCGAAUACUCAGCUCUCUUUUUUAUGUUUGUUUUUCUUUAAUUUUGGGACAGAGCCUUGUUAAGUUCUUAGGGCCUCACUAAAUUGCUGAGGCUGACUUUGAACUUGCAAUUUUUUUUAAGACAAAAUACAUAGACAUCCAUAGGAACACUUAAAUUUAAUACACAUCAAGGACAACAGGUUUUAAUUUAAUCAUAAAUCCUCUAUCCAUUUGCCCUUUCUUCUAAACUGACAAUUCCAAUUCUUAAUAAUACUAGUAUGCUUAUUAGCUUUAAGUGAUAAUACAUUUACAACAGGCUCAGAAUAAUAAUACCAAGACGACCACCAUCAGUAGGAAUGUACAUAUACCUUGUGUAGAAUUCUCUCCCCUCAUAGGAAUGUACAUAUUUCUGUGAUUUUCAACUAUAUGGAAUUGUUCUUUUUUGGUAUGAUUAUGUUACCAGGUAGCUACACAGAAUCAUUUGGCUCAUUUUGCUUUCAAUUUUUAGGAAUUAAAAUCUUAGGGGAGACCAGAGCAGUGCAUGGUUCAGGGUGAAUUAUUGCCCACUGUUGAGAUUCUUACCAACAACACAGAAGUCAUGAAAUUUUCCAUUGUAACUAAUGGCAAAAGGUUUAUUCCCAGCCCUGUAUUAAUGCCAUGCACAGUUUCCUCUGUAAUUCUUUAAAAAUGUUUUAUUCCCAGGCUUGGGUAGUUUCUACAUGCACAUGCCCAGAUUAGUAUCUGCUAAAUUCUUAGGGUACUCUCUGUGCUUCAUGUCUUUCCUCCCGGGGACUUUGUCCUGCAAACUCUGGCCACUUUCUUUGAUACUUUCAUUUCUGUUUCCUGAACUCAGAGCCUUUGGCUCCCCUGAGUUGGGUGUCCUCCCCAUGCUGCUGUUGAGAAGCCCUCAAGGCUGUGUUCUGGGGCGAUGGAAGGGUUCACCUCUUGGCUUUUCAUUCCUCAGGAAUCACUGUCCCUCAUGGCCUGUUGACCUAUGUCUUGAAAACCAUUGUAUUGUGCAUUUUAUUUCCUUCUUCCUUCCUUCCUUUUUUGUUUGUUUGUUUGGUAGUUUUAAGAAGGAAGUUUUGUCCCAUCCCUCUGUCAGUUCAUCUGGGCUAGAAUAAGAAGUCUCUCCAAGUUGUUUCCAAAAAAGUUCAGCAAUACCUUAUUUAUCCAAUCAGUAUCUUAAUAGGAAGUUCAAUAAUUGAAAUGAAUUUUAAAACAUUUGACUGUAGUGUGUGUAGAAAACCCCCUUGAAUAAACUGCUGUAGUUUUCUUUUUCUUUCCUUUAUUCUCUCCUUUCUCCUUUUGCAGGGGUAAGGGGGUUUGUUCCUGGGAUUUGAACCCAGGGCCUCAUGCAUUCUAGGCAAGUGUUCUACCCCCGAACUCCAGCUCCAGCCCUCCCCACUGCAGUUUUGCAACUGUCAGUACAGCUUGUAGAACCAUGUGGUGGCAUUUUCCCUCCCACCUAACUUUCCUACCAGAUGAUCCAAUUUUAUUUUCUGGACUUAGAGUCAAUUUGGUGGCUCAUUCAUUCAUUUCUUGAACAGAUAUUUUGAUUAACUACUAUGUGUCCUACAGUGUGGGGGUAGAUACCAUAGUGAAGAAGACACUCUCUUUCCCCUUAAAAAAAAAUCUUGCAAGUUUAUUUUCACAGACAAACUUGCAUGUGAAUGUUCAUAACAACUUUUCUUUUUGUGUGUGUGUGUGUCCAGAUUUUAUUAUUAUUAUUUGGAUUUUUGAUGGUGGUAACUCUACCUUAUUCAUUGCAGCUUGCACUGCUUCAAGUGGUAGUUUCCAGAACUGUGUGUCUUUUUUUAAAAAAUUUGUCCUUUUUAGAUAUACAUGACAGUAGACUGUAGAGUAUAUUUGGACAUAUUAUAAAUACAUGGAGGAUAACUUAUUCUAAUUAGGAUAGUAUUCUUGUGGUUGUACAUAUGUGGAGUUUCACUGUGGUGUAUUCAUAUAUAAACAUAGGAAAGUUGUGUCUGAUUCAUUUCACUGUCUUUCCUAUUCCUCUACCUCACCUGCAUUCCCUUUUGUUUAAUCCACUGAACUUCUGUUCUUCCUUUCUCUUCCCCUUGUGUAUUAGCAUCUGCAUAUCAGAGAGAAAAUUUGAUCUUUGGUUUUUUGGGACUAGCUUAUUUCACUUAGCAUGAUAAUCUCCAGAUGCAUCCAUUUACCAGAAAAAGUCAUGAAGUCAUUCUUUUCUUAGAGCUAAGUAAUAUUCCAUUGUGUCUACAUACACAGUUUCUUUAUCCAUUCCUCUAUUGAAGGGCACCUAAGUUGGCUCUAUAGCUUAGCUAAUGUGAAUUGGGCUGCUAUAAAUGUUGAUGUGGCUGCCUAACUGUAGUAUGCUGAUUUUAAGUCCUUUGGUUAUAUACCAAGGAGAGUUAUAACUGGGUCAAAUGGUGGUCCCAUUCCUAGUUUUUAAAGGAAUCUCCAUAUUGCUUUCUAAGGUGAUUGUAUCAAUUUGCAGUCCCACCAGCAAUGCAUGAGUGUACCCUUUCCCCCACAUCCUCGCCAACAUUUACUGCUGCUUUUUUAAAAUAUUUUUUUUAGUUGUAGAUGGACACAAUAACUUAUUUGUUUAUUUAUUUAUUUAUUUAUUUUUAUGUAGUGCUGAGGAUGAAACCCAGUACCUCACAUGUCCUAGGCGAGCAUUCUACCACUGAGCCACAAUCCUUGCCCUGUUUUUAUUCUUGGUUAGCAAAUUUAUUUGUAAUAACCAAAACCUGGAAAUAUCCAAAUGUCUAUCAAUGAGUGAAUGAUUAAAUAGAGAGUGAUUUAGUUACAUAGUAGAAUACUACUCAGCAAUAAAGAAAAAUGAACUGUUGUUAUGGGCAACAACUUAGAUGAACCUCAAAGAAAAUAUGUUGAGUGAAAAAUACUUACCUUAAGAGAAUACCUUAUUGAAUGAUUCCAUUCAUAUAAUUCUUAUGAGGUAACAUAAUCAUAGAGAUGGUGAACUGAUUAGUGGUUUUCAGGGGCAAGGGAGAGGGCAGGGGAUGUAGUAGGGGUAGACGUAAAAGGGUAGGAUUCUUAUGAUGAUGCAGUUAAGGGUUUGGCAUGAGCUAAUGGUUACUUAAAACUACAACAUGAUAAAAUUGCUUAGAGAUCUACACACACAAACACAAAUAAGUGCAUGUGUAUCUGGUGAUAUGUGAACAAGCUCUAUAGAUUGUACCAAUGUCAAUUUCCAGGUUUGGAUAUCACAGAUGUUAAUAUGGAAACAGAGACCAAGUGAAAGAUCCACAGGGCUUCUCUGUCAAUUAUUUGUACAUUUUUGCUAAUUUUAAUUAUUUCAUAUUAAUUUUUUAAAUAAGUGCAAUGUUGUAGAGGAUAUAGGGAACUGAAUAGCUCAUUAUAAUAUAUUGUAAUAAUCUUUAGUCAAGAGGAAUUAGUAUAGAGUAUUUAUAUGGAGGAAUACUGUCUUUUUUGUGUUGCUAUAACAAAAUAGUCAAAGCUGGGUACUUUAUAAAGUAUUUAUGUUUAUUUGGCUCCUGAUUCUAGAGGGUCCAAAUAGCAUGCUUCUGCAGUCUUAGUAGCGUCUCAACAUGGCAGAAAAGUUAAAAGAAAACUGGCUGCUUGAAGAAUAGGACAAAUUCACUUAAAAAAAAAUUCACUCUUCUGAGAGCUAAUCCACUGUGAGAGCUAAUACCACACCUGACCUACCCCUGUAAGACAGUAUUAAUGUAUACAUGAACGUGAAGCCCCAUGACGUAAUCACCUUCCAUUAGGCCCCACUUUUUUAAGUUUCUUGCCACAUUGGAGACCAUAUUUCCAGCACACGAACCUUUGAGAAACAGCACAUUUCCAAAUAACAGCAAAUAUCUUGUUCCUAUUCCCCAGUUAAAAAACCAUGUCUCUACUAUGUCUCUCACUUUCCAGCAAGUCAUGCUUUUGUCUGAGGGACUUGGUUCCAUCAGCAGUAAUGGAGAAACAGAAUGGAUGAAACUGACUCCACCAUCACUACCCCAAUGACAUGUCCUGCUCACAGGUGCCUGUGUGAAAUGCCUUAACCAUACGAAGCAGGCAUUGUGUAAGAAUGAGUACGUAUCAAGCAUCAGGAGUCUGGUGUUUCCACAACACACUCUAAUGUAAGUAGGAAAAUUGGUUCCAAAUUUAAAUAUCCAUGAAUUCUCUGUUACGCACAGCCUUGGCUCACCUCUGGCCCGCUCUGCCAUUAGCAUGGAGCAGUCAAAGCUUCACUCAGACCUGCUUAGAAAUAGCCUUUGCAUGUGAAGAUGAACAUGGGUGCAGUGGGUUUUAUUACUGUUGCUCUAACUCAUUUUAAUUUGGUGACAGAUUGAUAUAUAUUGUGAGUUUUGUUAAGUUAUAUGCGUUUUUUUUCCUCCUAGUAACCAAGUAGAAUUUUCUCUGAAUGUUAGGUGAAAUCCGUAUUUGGGUUUUGUUGAUAUUAGUAGGAGGCCCUACAAAAGCCACUCAAUAUGAAUUUGUGCUCUUGUCAAAUUGUGACAACUCAGUUGUCUUAGAAAUUUCAUUAGGUUGUUUCUGAAUUUCACAAAUCCAUGAAUAAAUGGGCUUAUAUAAUAUGUGGGCUAGAAAUAUAUUGAUUCUUUCUUUUUUUUUUUCUUUUUAAAAUGCACCCUCUCUUAUCAAUGCCAGGAGAACCUCCUUUAGAAUCACCAUUGACUUAGAAGGGGUCUGAGUCUGCACCUGUGUGCUCCUAGAAUGCUCCCUGGGAAGGAAAUGUUCUUGGAGUUUUUAACCUGGUCUGAGUCUCCUUGAGACAGAAUCACAAAGUGUAUGUAUAGGCAGCUUUGGUUUGUAUCCUUUAUCAUCAUCAGGGGAAUAGCCAAUUUGAAAUGAAUGAAUAUAAUUUGUGAAAUUGGCCACUUAGUUCUGACUCACGUCUUCUCCUCCUUCUUCUCCCUUACUUCCUCCUUCUACUCCUCGUCCUUGACUCAUAUUUAAUUUUUUUUCUAGAUAUUUUACAUGUAACAGGUCAUGUAUCAUUGAUUAGAUCUUGGGACUUUCAUUCUUUUGUUGUUGAGGCAAACUGUGUACUAGGUUUCAUUUUAACAUAUUGAUUUGAUUUUCUGAAACGAAACUGGUUAUUUGUGUGCUACAUGCUUUAACACCUUUCUAAGAAAACAUUAGAGAGUAUGUCAAAAGUCUAGCUGACUUAGAAUGCCUCUUUUUUGCCUUCUGGUAGUUUAUGUGAGUGUGUGGUCCUGAUUUGUAUAUGGCCAUGGUCUUUUCUGUGUCCUCUCCUAUCUCUGUCUCUAUAUUUGAGAAAAUUGUUGGCUUUUUUAUUAUUCUUAUUUAUAUCUUUAAGAUGCAGUUAUAAUAGAUGUUCUCGAGAUUACAUAACACUCCACAUAUUCCAUGGUUUUCCCUGGAUAGGCAGGUAUAACCAUGUUAUUAAAUAAUGUUACAAGCAUUUUUUUUGGAAAGGAAUAGGAAUUAAUAGGAAGCCAGUUGCCUUUUACAUAGAUUUCAGAUGCCCACUGAAGAGGCUUGAUUUUUUAAGUUUCCUGAAUAGUUUUGAAAUAUUAAUUUGAGAAUGAGAGCUGCAUAGCCAUCAAUAUAACUCUGCAGUUUUUAUUUUUUUUUGGGGGGGUACUGGGGAAUGAACUCGGGGUGCUUGACUACUGAGCCACAUCCUCAGCCCUAUUUUGAAUUUUAUUUGUAGAUAGGGACUCACUGAGUUGCUAAGCACCUUGCAUUGCUGAGGCUGGCUUUGAACUUUCGAUCUUCAUGUCUCAGCCUCCCAAGCCAAUGGGAUUAGAGGCAUGCGCCACCAUACCUGGCUUAACUCUCCAGUUUUUAAAGAUAAGCCCCAUCUUUCUUCUUCCUCGUGUUCACCUGAGCAAAGCUAAUGCGCCUACCUGCAGAAAAGCCCAUCAGUCCCUGGAUAACAAGAAGCAUGUUUAAGCCUUUAAUUUUCUCUUCCUUAUUGGGUGCAUAUAGUGGGUCAGCUCCAACAGCUCGGCUAUAUGUUACUGCUCAUUCUCAACUGAAAUUUGUAUGGUUCACUAGACCUGGGGAGGCCAUUUCUCUGAACUACGUCCUAGGGGCUGGUGUGGCUCCCUUGUUUCAGAAAUUAUCCCCUUCUCUAGAAAAAGGGCUCAGUAUCUAUUAAGUUUUCUUGGAUCCUUAGAUGCUAUCACUAUGCCUGCAUUACACUCUGGUUUUAAAAAAAUAGGAUCAGAUCUGAUAAUGACCAGUACCUGCUUGAUUUUUAGGUAUUUCUGAUAGUUGCUCUGACCUCUGCUUGAUUUGAUGACUUAUUACUUCCAGCCAUUUGUAUGACUUCAGAGCUGACUCUUAGUAACAGAUAUGGGUAGUGACAGCUCCACAUUUGUGAUAUUAAAUGUGCAUACUGGCCUGCUUUGCUAAAUGUCUAUCAUUGCUCACAAUUGUAAUAAGGAAGAAGGCGUCAGACAAAAUGAGUCUUUCCAAACUCUGAAGAGUGUGGCAUCUCACUGAUUGCAAAAAAAAAGAAAAAAAAGCAAAACCAAGGCAAACAAUAAAAAAGGGGACAGUGUAAAACUAAACCAGAACACUAAGACCCUCUAGCCAAAUUCAGUUGUUGAAUAACUUGGUUUCAGGCUCAUGCUUUCUGCCAUUCAGAGGAAAAGGGAAUCAUAAGAAAUGAUGUCCCUAUUAUGAGAUCAGAGUGGGGCUGGAGACCCCAGGGAGCCAGGACAAAUGUUCUUGUUUUUCAGAACUUUGGGGCAGUAUGCAUUGAAUGGUUUAUUAUGUUAAGUUUUAUAUCAGAGAAUUGUAUUAAGGCAUCAGCUCACAUUGCUGAAUGGUAUGGGAUACUUUAAAAAGUUAAUCUUUUUUUUUUUUUUUUGCAGUGCAUUUAGACUAGCAUUGUUCAUUAGAAAUGUAAUGUGAGUCAUAAAAUUAAUUUUAAUUUUUCUAGUAUCUACAGUAAAAGGACACGCAUGAAAAUAAUGUAAUAAUAUUUGUAUUUCAGCCAAUAAUAUCCAAAUCCCAUUAUAUCAAUAGAUGUUAAUAUCAAAAUUAUUGAAAUAUUUUGCAUUCUUUUUUGAAAGUCUUUGAAGUCUAGUAUGCAUUUUACAAUUAUAGUACGAUUCAGUUUGGACUGGUCAUGUUUCUGGUGUUCAGUAGCUGCAUGUGGCCAGGGCUUCUGUGUUGCACAGCACAGCAGUGGACAAUGGAGUGGGCAGGAAGGGCAACUCUCCUUUGUUGUAAUGUGUUUGGGAUGCUUUCAGCUGUGAGAUACCUCAUCAAUAGUUACCAUCAGGAACCUUGAAAGGGAAAGUCUUCCAGGGUUCUUUGAAUGGGGUGGGCAUUAAUUCAGAAGUUAUUAUUUUAUGUCACCAGAACUAAUUUGAUGAGAAGAAUAGCUAUGUUAAGUCAUCUUCAAGCAAAUAAACAACUUAUUCUGAAAACUUUUGGACCCUUACUUUCAAUUCCCUCAUCUCUAGUGAAUGCUCUAAUUUAUCUUAUCUAGGAAAUUCUGGAGCUGUUUUUAUGCUAUUUGCUUCUUUAAGACUUCCAUGAGUUCAUCAGUUUUCUCUCUUGAGUUUCCCAUGGGAAUUAGUUUGCAAUUUUUCAGUGAUAUCAUGACUUUUUCUUGAUAUACAGUUACUCAUUAAUUUCUUUUGUUAGCUCUUUGAGGAGAACUGAGACUUGCUGGCUGUCCUGCCUCUUUAGUGCCACGCAUGAAGCAGGGUGUACUCAGAGAUGCUUGUGGAAUGGACAUGUACAUGCCUUCUCUGAUUUAAAGUCUGGAAGGCAGAGCAUGUUUUUAACUUCUCCAGUGUACUUUUGUUUGCUAAUUUAGUAUGGGUUUUUCUGUUGGUGCUUAAUAAGUUCUUGCUGACUGGAGGACUUAUAACUGUCCUCCCUAGUCUUAGUCCAAAACUAUAAUCAUCAAACUGUUAAAUUACAUAGUUGGACAAAAUCUUCAUUUGGAGGAACAAAUACAAACAUAUCUACCAACCUGCCCUGUGGAUUCUUACAUGGAUCUAUGAAAGAAGCUAUGAAGAGUGUAACUAUCUUUGGUUAAAUACCAAUAAAAUAUAAUUAUUGCCAGAAGAAAAAAACAUGUUCUUCUCAUAAGUCUUAACCUCUAUGGCAAAAGAAUCUACUUUGUAAAUAUUUGAAUCACUCAAUUCUUUCAUUCAACAAACUGAGCACCCAUGAGGAUUAAGGCAUUGUAUUAGGUACAGAGCAUAAAAAAUUUUAAAAAGCCUGACUCUCAAGUUGCUCACAUUUUGGUUGGAAAAUCAGAUCAUAUCAAAGCCCUCUGUAAACCAUUUGUAUGUUUAGAGCAAGUUACUAAUGAGAGAAAUAUUCAGCAAAGUCUAAUUUUUAUUGUGUUUUCCUUCUGUGAGGUUGUUAAGAGUUUUUAGAACAAACGUGUAGAUAGUGGUUUGUUUUAAAGGAGUUAUAUUAUUCGGCACUUAUUAUAUUUUAUUUAUUUUCUUGAUUGAUUAAUUGCAGUUAAAUUACCUUAGCAUGCAAGAACAGAUUUUACAGAUUUUGACAUAUGAUUAAACAGCAUAAAGCAUAACUAAUGUGGUUUUAGUGGCAUGCUAUGUAUUAAAGCAUAAAAUUUAAACACACAUUUCAUCAGGAAUUUUUGCAGUUACAGUGAAUUAGAGAGAUUUCUGUUUGAACUACCCCCAUCUCCUAUGUUAGGGAGGGGCAGGAAUUUUAUAAUUGAGAUUAUUAUGGAAGAGUGUCCUGACAUAACUGAUUGACUUCUGUGAUGUUCCUUGAAAGUUCAAAUUCAAGGUGUGCACUUAUUUCAGUCAGCUUAUUCUGAAUGUUUAAAUAAGAAAUACUAUUUCUGGGUAUUCUGAAUAACUCGUUGUACAUUUAUUCCUAAUAGUGAGCAUUUGGACUAAUGAUGGAUUACUAAUGAGCAUGUAAAUGUACCACCUGAUUACAUUAAUAUAUGAUCUUCCAUGACGAGGUCUGAAAUGAACAUUUCUAAUAUGUAUUUCUUUUCCCCAAAUGGCACUGUGGUGUAUACUGAGCAGGACUGAGACAAGGGUGUUUUCUUAAGAGCCACUGAUUUAGUCAAUUAUCAAAAAUCACAUUAUAAUAAAUGCUGUUCUAAGAAUUUUGAUUAACCUUUAAAUAAAUGUUACUUUGGAAAAAAAUCUGCCAAAUGUGUUAAUGAUAAAUUGUGAAGUGGUAGUAAUUGCAAGUAUGGCUUUAUAGAUAAUAUAGUUAAUUGAUACCACCCUCUCAAACAUAUAUAGCACAUCAGCUGCUAUGAGCCUAGAUUAUAGCAAUGGUGUCUAUGGCAUUUUUGAUACAUUGAGGAUGACAUAAGUAAAAUGGAAACUUAGAGUGCUCACCAGGGUCAUUCUCUCAUGGACAUCUGAUGCCCAUGGUCAAGUAAAUUUUUAAUGACACAUAGUCACUACACACCUUUCAGCCUUCUGAAGAGGUAAGUGUACAUUGAUCUGUCCUAAUUAGCCUUGCAGAAUACUUCAGACAUCCCUGCAGGAACACUAUUAUUUAAUAAAAUGAGAGCUGGUUUUUUUUCACAAGCUCAGCACUUGCUCCUUGGAAGGCUGUAUUGUUUUCUUCUGCUUUUUUUUUUAAACUAAGGUCUCAUGUCUCAUGUUCAUCCUUGUCUUUGUCUGACAAUGUAGUAUUAAUGCAGCUGCAUAAAAAAAAGUAAGCAAAAUUAAGGAAUGGGUCUGAUUAUGAAGGUUCAUUGCUAUUAUAAGUAAUCCAUAGGGCACAUGUCCAUUCUUUUCCUAAUGUAUAGGGUGCUGACUGCAUAAAAUUACUUGAAAAGACAUUAAGGGUGUACAAGCAAUUCUGUUGAGGUGUGCAGUGGGAUGCUUUUAUGUUUGGCAAUAAAGGUGGCUCUGGAAUGCCUGAUUCAAAAAACUGUAGCCAAAUCAGUUUGUAGUUGCUUAAGACUAGAGUUUUUUUUUUUUUUUUUUUUUUUGGGUACUGGGGAUUGAACUCAGGGCCACUCAACCACUGAGCCAUAUUCCAGCCCUAUUUUGUAUUUUAUUUAGAGACAAGGUCUCACUGAGAUGCUUAGUACUUUACUUUUUUUGAGAGGCUGGCUUUGAACUCUCAAUCCUACUACCUCAGCCUCUCAAGCCGUUGGAAUUACAGGCAUGUACCACUGCAUCCAAGAGAGACUAGAGAAUUUAUGUUGGGAUAUCUACUUCAUUUGAGAGUUUAGUUUUCAUCUGUAUUUAGGAUCUAGAACAAAGAAUCCUGAGUUUGCCCAUUUUUGUAAAAAACCAAGCACUAUUUAUAAUUUGCUGAUAGGAUUUGGAGGCAGAGGUGUUUCUAAUACAGACACUUACUAUAAUUGUGAAGUUGGUUCCAAAUGGGACACAGAACACAUGGUGUUAAAUCUUAUCCACUGAUAAAGUCUACAACCACAACUUCUUAGAGGUAGGAAUAUCCCUUGGUGAACAUUGUUCAUUGGUAAGUGAAUGUAUUCGCUUUUAAGAAAAAGGAACAAGAAAGGACCCUGUCAUGCCAUUGGGCUGGCCAUGGAUGACAAUAUCUGGAGUUGCCCUUGUGUAGAGGGAAAUCAAUCAUCUCUUUCUGCUGUUUUAUGACCACCGAGUCAGCUGGAAGCUCCUCAAGUGCCCACUUAUCUGCUUGCUGAUACCUGAAGUUGCAUACUUCGAGAUUAAAAUCUUUGGAUUUUGCAAAUAUCUCUAAAAAUUAUAACACGUAAUUUAAAUUGUAUCAUUAGACUAUACUGUGAAUAGUCUUACUAGCUCUCUCUGGAUAGCAUGUUUCUUUAAAAACUUUAAUUAAUUUAUUUAUAUGUGGUGCUGAGAAUCGAACCCAAGUCCUCACACAUGCCAGGCAAGUGCUCUAUCACUGAGCCACAACACUAGUCCCUGGAGAGCAUAUUUUGAAAGGGGUUGGAUAGAGAAAUAGAAGCCCUCUAGUCACUGGAGAGUGAGAGGAAGUGCUUUUUAGCUUGAGGGAGAUAGUGGGGAAAUGUGGAAGAUACUGAAAGAGGCGGCUUGAAACAAAACAAGAUGAUAUUUAUUUUCUUUAUAGUAUAGGAAAAUCUCUAAAGAAUGUCAGACUUUCUGAAUAUAGUUUUGAAUAUAUCUUGGUUGAAAAACUGAAAUAUUUUUCAAUUUUAUUGAGGUACAGAUACUUUCUUUGAAUUACCCAGUUCAAUUAUUCAGGAUUUUUUUUUUAAGUAGCUGCUAUGUGCUAAAAAGUGUAUUGGACGAAAAAAGACAUGUUUUUCCACCCAUAAUGUUUUAUUACACACUAUGUUCUUCCCUGCAGGUAAUAGAAAACACAAGUCCAAAUGGCUUUAGUUAAAAGCAAAUUUGUUGCCUCACUCCACUGAAAGUCCAGAGGGAGGGUGGAUUCAGGGUCAGUUUAACCCAGUAGUUUGGACUUAGUUUUCCUUUCAUUGUUUGCCCUCUCUGGGGAUCAGUUUCAGCCAUGGCUGGGUGGGAGAUGGCUAUCAGGAGGCUUUAUAGAAGAGCUAGAAAAACCUUCCCAGAAGCUUCCAAGAAAACUUUUCUUUGAUUUUAUUAGUCCAAGAGACUGAGAUUAUGCUGAACCAGUGGAUUUAGAUGUAUGGUUCAAUGAACAGUACGGAAGGAGAGGCAUCUACUCCCAACUAGUGCAGGUGAAGGAAGAAUUCUUUGCAGUGUGCUGCUGAAACUGAAUCCAAGAGGAUGAGAAGCAGUGAGGAGGAAGGAAGGGCAUUGCAGGAAUGAAGGCAUUACGUGCCAAGACACAGAAGUAGAGGCACAGUGCAUAAAACAGCUACCUUACUCAUUCUUAGGUCUUAGCUGCACCUUGGAGAUUUCACAGAUCCUUUCUGUGGCAUCACAGUUCCCUGUAUUUGUCCCAUCUUAACUGUCCUCACCCUUCAUCUUACUCAUUCUACUAUUUAUUCUCUCCACUAGACACUGGGAGGGUACAGUCUGUUUAAUUCUCUCCGUUCCUAAUGCUUACUUAACACAGUAUCGAGAACAUAGUAGAUGGUUAAUAAAUAUUCAUCAAAUGUGUAAAUGAAUGUGAAAUUUAUUAUAAUUUUAAUAACUGUCAGCACAUGGAUCUGGUAAUUUGUAUAUUGGUAAUAAUAAUAAUAACUUUCAUGACCCUGAUUAGAUUUCUUAUAGAGACUUAAGAAUUCUGGGUUUUUGACUCUGAUAUGACCAAUUAUUUUGAAUAGAAUUUUCUGAAGCACAAUUAUGUGUUUUCAUACACAGUAUGAUCCCAGAGCAGGAAAAGACCUUAAGUGUCAUCAAGACUCUUACUUGGUGCAUGAGUAAGUGUUUGUGUCUUUGGGGACUGAGUCUUGGCUCACCACAUUCUUCAAAAUAUUAACCCCAAUGUGUAAAGCUCCAGUUCAAGUGACUUUCUUAUGUUUCCUCUAGAUUUAUCAUUUUUAAAUUUUUAGAUUGAAAUCUACAAAUUAUUUUAUUGACAUUAGUCAGAAAUCACAUAUAGGUCUGCUUUGUUUUAUGCAUUCUCCACUUGAGAGAGUCAUAUACUGAAAUGAAUUAGAAAAAAUGUCUUUGGAUAGAGUUGUAUACCCAAUUGUAUCUGCUGCUCACUAUCAUCAGCAUUAUGAUCUGCAAAUAUGAUGCAUGAAAUGUAUUAAAAAGGUUGAGGGUGUAGCUCAUGGGAAAGCAUGUGCUAAGCAUGUGCAGGGUCCAGGAUUCAGUCCUAGCACUACCCCUUCCAAAUACACACACACACACACACACCACUUAACUUGGGGGGGAAAGAAUAUAAGAACAGAAGACAAUAUGAUGAUAUAUCAUGAUGAAAUUCAACCCCAAAGUCUAUUUGUGAUUUUGGUGGGGCAGCCUAAUUGUCUACUGUGCCUUUAAAGCUAAGACAUAGCUUGAUGUUUUCCCCAUAGUCUGUCACACAUCUGUCAUGUGUAGUCUUCCUAGAUACCUUUUGAAUUUAUUUAUCCUUACUAAUUUGAUACCUCUUAGUGUAUUCCGUACAGUGUCAUUUAGACAGACUGGCUUUAUUAUGAUUUCAUUUAUCUUACUUAACUUUCUUCAGAUGACAAAAAAUUUUAAAAAUGGAAAUCCUUUUUUAUUUAUUAUAAAUAUUGCUUACACUUUUUUGCCCUACCUGUAAUGUAUUUGAGACAUUUCCCAUUGGAAUAUAUUUUUGAGUGGCUCAUGGAGCAUCACAUCUAUUAUAACCUGGAAGUUUCUUCUUCCUGGAGUAAGCUAUGUGGACAUGAUAAUGAUAAUGAGAACUGAAAAAUGAUACCACUUCAUUUUUCACUUAGUAUUGUCAUCAUGGAUAGCAUCCUCUUUUUUCUUUUUUAAAAAAUGUCAUUAAGUGUUUUAUUGUCAUUAAGAAUUAAUUUUAUAAAGAUAAGUUAUGAUUAUAUGGUUAUGUGUAAGAAAUGGAAAGAUCUUUAUAAUUAACUCAUGCCUCAAACGAUUUUAUUUCUCGUGUAACCAUCUUAACAUGAUAGGAGGCAUAUUUAAUUUAAGGGAAUAAAGUAGAUGAGUGACUUGAGUCAUUGCAAAGGAAUCUUGUUUGGGACAUCUCCUGCUUUGCAAUCCCGGGAAGGAAAAUGAAAUAACUUUUAUGGAGAAGCCCUUUUGAGCAUCUGCUGUUUUUCCCUAGAAUCUUUGGACUUUUUCAAAGUCUUGGGAAAAUAUCUUGUCUAUGCUUUCCCUUACAUAGAGAAGGGGACCUGGACUUCCUGAGGUUAAGGGACUUUCCCAGAGCUCUGUAUGAUUAAUGAGCCUGCAGAAGAGGCAGGGUGGUGCUUGUGUCUCCUGGUUCUCAGAGCUUUGGAUGUGCUUUGCACAAUGCCAUGUUGCUCUCUAGGAUUCUUCCAUUUUAAAGAAAUGUAACCUAACAUGAGAAGCAAAAUUCUUUUGCAUGGAUUCAUUUAAAAAAAAACAACAUUACCCUGAUUUUAUAGUUGUACAAGUAGCGGUUUAUUGACUUCAGAAAAUUAAAGUUAAGUCCACAAAAUACUAAAGAAAAUAUAUUUAUAAUUUUAACAAACUUGUUCAGGAAACUUUUCCGAUCUAAGUUUGCCUCCCAAAGCCCAGACUCCUUUCAUUAGGAAAGCAGGUUGAGGCUGCUCCAUCAGGCUGUGCAUGGUGUUUUUCUUCUCUGAGAGCUCAGGAGAUUGGCACUACUCCGCAGUAGUGUCACAGCCCGCAGUCAUUUAAUGCCUCUUCUUGUGAGGCCAGGAUUCCACGCCCAAGUGCAUUUAGUAGGUCAGUACAGUAAUUUUAAAUGUCUUUCUUUCAAUCUUUUGCCAUCUUCAAUUAUACCUUUCCACCCUACUAUUUGUGUAAUUUUCUUCUGUCUGAAGUCUCUUUACUGUUGUUCUCUAUUGCACAGCAUGACAAAUUACCCAUCAAGCCAUAUCUUUUCAGCCCAGAAAUGCGCAAUAACACGGAGUCAUGGCAUUAUCGCAUGUUGUGCACUUUAUUUCCUCACAGUUCAUUCAAGUGUGUCACUUUAUUUUCCUGGCUUCCUUUUGUCAUCAUGGAGAUUAACCAUUUUAUCCUUCCUAAACUUUCGAAACAAUUAGAAUUUCAUUAUAGUGGGAGCUGAGAGUGAAUGCUUGCUCAGUACUGUGUGGAGUAUACUUUUCAUAUUAUCAGUGGCAAAAUUAAAGCCAUGAAUCCUGAGUCCUUUGCGAAGGAGAGACUUUAGAGGUUAUUAUACAGCUGAGUAACCCAGGCUCUGGACAAGAGAAUUAUUUGAGGCUGAGGUCACGAAACACAUUAACAGUAAGAAGCCAUUUAGUAUGACAUUGAGUACCUGAUUCUUAUAUUCUUGUGGGAAUUAGGAAGCUCACUUGAACCCAUGUAUUCUGUAAACAAAAUCUUUUUCCCCCCUCUUAGCUUUGGCUAAAUACUAAUAGUAUACAGUGUGCAAUGAGAUACAAUAGACAUUGCAACCAUGUGUUGGAAAAAUCAAUUGGUAUUGAUGCUCUAAUCAGUGUGGCUGCAGCUAGUAUAUAGACACACCACCGGAAAGGGUGAUUAAAAUCUUAUUCAAAAGAAUUAAAAAACCCCCACAACGUUUAGAUCACUGUUCAGAGAGAUUGCUGUUUUUCUGGGAUACUAGGUGAGCUGGCUUGCCAGUGAUACUUAUAUAUUCUGCUAGAUUUGUUUAGCUGUUUUAUGACUGUGUUAAAUUUAAAAGUUCUUUAACCUUAUAUCCUUGCAGGAUAUAGGACAACAGUUGUUGGAAAACCAACAAAAAGUUCAAAGCUCUUUUGUUACAGCCAACUUAAGAGUCUCCUAGGCAGUGAGUUCAAGGUAAAUGUGAGAGGAAAGGUAGAGAAAGGAAAGGGGUUAGUUAAAAUUGAGCUUUAGGACAGGGAUUGCAGAUCAGUGGUAGAAUGCUUGCCUCACAUGUUUAAGGCACUGGGUUCAAUCAUCAGCACCACAUAAGAAUAAAUACAUAAAAUAAAGCUUUAGUAUAAAAACACUUGGUAAAGAGGUUGAGAAGUCAGGAACAAGAGAAGGAACACUAUGGCUAUGAAUUUGAAAAAAUUGGGAGGAAAAUAGCCACUAAGAACCACUGCAUGGCAAAGGAGUUUUUCAGAAUUUAAAUAAUGGAACUAUAGUAUCCUAAGGUAGGAUUUCCUACCCAUGAGCAAGUAAUUAGCUAAAAGUGUUAGCUGAAAACCAUUUUAGGAAAAAUGAAGGAAGAAAAGAGAUGAGCUACAAAAGGUGGUUGUGUUCACAAAACUUUACUUUCUCAUCUAGAUUCAUAUUUUCCUGUGAACAGCUUUAGAUUGAAUUAGAAUAAGAUAUACUCCAUUUUUUUUGUAUAAAUAUGUCAGAAUAAACCCUACUGUCAUGUAUAACUAAAAAGAAAAAAAUAAAAGAGCCAAGGUUGCUAUAGUCACUCAGAAAGGAGACCACAUAGGGUGAAGAAGAGGACUGUAGGGAAAUAUAUAUACAUAUAUUUUUUUCAACAUAUAUUUUUUUUUCAAUAUAUAUAUACAUAUAUAUAAACAUAUAUAUUUCAAUACAUAUAGAUGUAUUAAUUUUAAUUAUUUUAUAAACAGGAAAAAGCUGGAUAUCUGAUAUAAAUCUAGGUAUAGAAGUCCUGCCUUUUAAUCUCUACCCAUCUUUGACACAUACCUGAGUUCUAGUCUAGAGUCAUCAGAGUAGAACUAGAAGAUGGGAAGGGGUCAAAAACAUGGAAUGUGUCUUUAGAAAUAUUGACUGUCACAGAAAAGGCAAGAUGAUUUUAUGAAGACAAAUUGCUCUUGAAAGUUGGGGAAGACUGAACACUGUAAGUAUUUAGCAGUAAUUAAAAAAAAAUCUUCUAGUGUUCCCAAAUACGAUUUUAACCAGCAGCUAGUAACUUAAACAUUUUUUUAAGAAAGGAAAAUGAAGGAAUUUUGGGGAACUAAAGUGGAAAUGGCAACAAGAAUUUUAGCCUGGAGAGAACUUUCUAAUUUUCAAACUAUGUGUGCUUUUCCAUGUGCUCAUCACGAACUACUCACAAAUUAAAUAGGGAAGAAGUUAUUAAAAAUCCUUUAAAAGACAGGGAAUGUGAGACUGAAUAGAAAUUUACCUGAAGUGAUGUAAGCAUGUGGAUAAAGCAGCACUAGAAUAAAGCCUCUGGAACUCUGCUGUUUCACAUGAUAGCAGCUAGCCACAUGGGGCUACAGAACCCUGGAAAUGUACCUACUAUCUGAGAUAUACUAUAUGUGUAAAACACAUACCAUAUUUCCAAGAUUUAGAGCAAAGAAAAAGGAAUACAAAAUAUCUUAUUGCUAAUCUUUAAUAUUGUUUAUAUUGCAUUAUGGAUCCUAUUGGGUUAAUAAAAUAUUAUUGAAACUAAUUUUAUCUCUUUUUGUUAACUUUUUUUUUGGUAUAGCUAUUAGAAAAUUUAUAAUUACUUCUGUAGCUUACAUUGAUAGCUUGCAUUCUAUUUCUAAGGGUAUUCUGGGCACCUCAUUCAGUACUUUGCCAGAAAAAUAAAAGGAAGAAAGAAAAGAGGGAUAGCUGGGUGUAAUGGAUUUGAAGCAAAGCAUUUGACCUUCAAUGAUAAGAGUGUGUCUCAAUUAUAUCCAUCAUUUUCAAUUCAGCUUAUUAAAACACCAUCAAGUUCCUAAUUUAUAAGAGUGGUCCUAAGUAUUAUGUUGAGCAUACUUUUGAGGAGAGGGGAAAAGAAUCCCAAAGGAAUAUAUUUCUGGGAUUUUUCUAACCAGAUCCAUGUGGAAGAAAGCAUAAAAAGAUUUUUCUCAAUAGAUUUUGGCAAAUCUGUUCUAAAGAAACCAUAACUAGUGUAGAGGUGAGGAACCUGAGAUUUUCUUGGCUGGGUUGGUAUUCUAGUAUCAGGCAUCCAAGGGCAUUUUGGCAUCUGCACAGAGGGAAUAUUCCUGGUCUGUUGCAUAAGCAUGUCUGAGCUGACUCCACCCACAUGGAGGAGGACCUUGGCUGAGGACAGACCAAUGAAGCACAUUAAGGAAGAGCUGUAUGAAAAAUGCAUCACAGAGUAGAAAUAGGGAAAUAUUGAAAACGUAAUGAGCCAUAAGGUCUCUGUCAUCAUUUCUUAAUAGGAACGUUGUUAAAUAACACUGGUGUGUACGGUAGGCUAUGUAUAAUUUAGUACAACCAUCUUUUAUGAGCUUUAUGGCCAUACACACCUAAUUCUUGAGGAAAGGACUGGUCCUACUAUUGUCACUUACAACACACUUUACUAAUUACUGAUGUAGAUUCAAGCCUCGGGAAAGGUCCAUAAUUUUAUGGCAACACUUUUCAAAACUUAGAGCAACAAAGGAAGAUUGAGAGACUACUGUAGAUUUUCAAGGUUGGAGCCGAAGAGGGGACAUACUCUCAUGUGAUAUUCGAACUGAAAUUCCGCUUCAAGAUUCUAGUUCUAUUUGAAAUCUGUCAUUUUAAAAUUAAUAACUGUUUUCCUUUAAUACAGUCUGUGUAAAGAAACGCAAUCCACUUAUGAACAGUUCUCCUUCCUUUCCAGAUACAUGGAAAUUCACUACUGUUGCUGACAAACAAAAUGCCACAAGAUUUGUCAUACAAAUCACAUUAUAAGAGGUUCCAAAAACUUGACAACGUUGACAGUUGUUUUCAGCAAAUGGCUGCUUUACUCUGUACUGUCAAUGUUGAUGUCCUUGUGCACAUGUAAAAGAGCAAUGUGAUUAAGGCAAGCUUGUCCACGCUAUAUCUGAGCCAAGUUUUCCGUCUCCGCGUGGCACUGAAAGAUUGCUCAGCUGUUGCAGAUAAGGCAGGAAUAGCUAGCAGAUUUCUGCCAUUUAGAAAAAAAAAAAAAAAACAACAUUCUCUGGGCAUGCAUUUCUGUAGGAAUUUACCAACAUCUGCUGCUGACCUAAAGUUUUCUAUAGAAGUAGCAUAUUUAAUUUAUAUAAGUAGCUCACAAUGAUAUUGGUCAAGACUCAUUUCCUGAGCAAAUAAUGAGAUGCGUUCACCAAGAAGAGAUAGGUUGAAGUUGAAUGACAUACAUUCUUUAAAUUGUCAUUGGAACUUCAGGCCUCUUACUUUUUUGGCCCGUCCUAAAUUUAUUUUCUGCAUGUUCUCUAAAUUAUAUUUCGGUAGAGAAACUUUUUAGAAGAAUAAAGAGCUAAGAGAUUUUGGUGAUUCCACAGAAGGCCUACACUUCACACUUAUCUUUUUUUUAUAGGCUCUCUGAAAAUGUUUGAUUUUUGGAAGCUAAUUUAUUCUGGAAGAAUUUUGUAGUUGAAUUUUAGUGUGAUUUAAAAUUGUCAUAUGUGCUAUCCUUAAAAGAACAUACAGGAUUUAGGUAUUUCAUGUUGUCAAGGUAACUUUGAUAAUCUUUAACUCCUUUGAUUUUGGGCAUCAGCUUACUCACCACUUUAUUUACGGAUGCUCAUUUUAAAAUUUGUUGUUUGUCUAUAUUACUCUUUGUUUCUCUUGAAAUAUAAAUGCUCUUCAGGUAAAAAUAUAAAACUUUUAAUUUCAUCUUGACAACCCAGACCUGCCUUGUAAUAAUGCAUUUGUUGUGUGAUUCAUCUAUUCUUAUUCUUGGUCACCUUCUAGUACAGCUGCAUGCAUUAACUGUCUGACUUGUCUUUGAAAAUCUUAAGCCACAUUCUUUGGAACAGUUGCUUCAUGUUGGUUGAAAUUCUCGGUGGCACUUUUUUCCAUUCACAGGAGCCAGCAGCCUCCAUAGCAGACACAUAGUUUCCAAGAACUUAGGCAUGGUUCAUGAUUCCUGAAUCUCAAAAAUUUCUUUUAGGAAUUGGAAUACCAUGUUCACUGUCUGAAACUUUUGGGCUCCAAAUUAUAAUAAAGAAAUGUAAAAAAAGAGAAAUUUACAUUUAUGUUUUGAAGUUAAAGUAGCACACACAAUUUGAAAUUUUUUUCAUUCUUACAGCUUAGCAGAGAGAUAGAAUUUAAAAACCCACUAAUAAAAAAAUAAUCCAUUGGCCAUGAGUAAGUAAGUAGUUAAAAAUAUUAGCUAACAAUAUUCUUGCAGGAAAAAUUAAAGAUGAAAAGAUUUGUGAACCAGAAACGUGGGUGCUUUUAUGAAACAACUCUUAUUGUCUAGUCUAGAUUCACAUUUUCCUGUGAACACCUUUAGGUUGUACUAAAAAUAUAGCAACUGAAAGUUCAAAUUUUAAGUCCCAAAUUACUGCCUUUCAGAUCCAUUGAGACAUCUAAAAAAUGGGUCAAGGUAACAAUGCAUAAUUUGAUAAGUUAACAAAAAAGUUGCUAAUGGAAAUAAAAUGAAAAUCAAUAUAAUUGUGAUAACCUUUAACAUCUGUCUUGUUUCUACUGUCAGUUAUACAUUUUAGGAAGUAUAAAAAUCUUUGUGAAAUAUUUGCAACAGCAAGCUCUUUAUUUUCAAGUAGCAAAUGGAGAAGAAAGGAGAAAUUUACCAUACAGUGUUCAGAUGAAGAAACAGGUUAAACAUAUGAGCAGUCAAAAAAAAAAGAGUAAAUACAGAAAAUCAGAAUGUGUAUCAAUAGAUAAGAGCACGGAGGCAGGAAAACCAUGGAUAUGCUCUGAUUUUUGCUGCCAAUUUUCAUUUCAGAAAAGUUUUCAAAUUUUUGUUUUGUAAACUUUCAUUAGGGUUAUAUUGAUAAUGACUUUUUGUACUUGUAAGAGAUCAUAGACUGAAAAUAAAAUGAUAAUUUGUCAUUUAUGAGCUUUAUGAAGUUCUGGUCUUAGUUUUUUUUUUUUUUGGUAUUCAUUUUAUUUCCAAUUACAGAAGUUUAUAAUCUAUCUGGCACUCAGAUCUUCUCACUGUCACUAUCUUUCUGAAGCUUUGGUUCAAUCCAUUUAUAGUCAUUGAUAGACAAGAGCCAAGAGUGUGACGAAAAUAAAACCAUUGUUUGUGUAUAUAGUUUAAAAAGAAAUUCAUUUCUUUGAGCACAUACUUAUAAUAAUUAUAUUCUUCAAUAAACUUUUUGAACUUACCUUCUGACCCAAUAAUGCUCAGGAAGUGAGGAUAAUUUGUCUUUCAUGGUCUUCUGUGGAAUAUCAGAGAUAUCACGGAACCAGUUCAAACAGUUGCACUUCCCACCACCUCAUCCUUCUUCAAAGCCAUAAAACUCUACUUUGCAAGGUGACUAGAUUUACUAGAUUGUGAAGGCUUCUCAUUUGUUUUUGAACUUUCAUAUGAUACUGAGAAUUUCAUGAGACAAAAGUGAUGCUAUCAAUCAUGCUAUAAAUUCUUAUAUGAAAGUUUUAUUAUGUUUUCCUGGAAUGUUCAAGAUAAAGUCCCUUUUACUGAAUAUUUCUAGAGUUGGGAAAUAUUUUACUGGUUGAUUGGUUUCUAUGUCAUUUGAGUGUAGUGAAAAAUACUAGCCACAUUUUGGAAAUAAAAUCAAGUAUAAAAUAAGUGGCCUCUUGUGGACUGAAGAAUCUUUCUAUCAGUGCCUAAAUCUCUCAUGAGAGGUCUAGGACCACUCUGCUAUGACCAUAUUUCUGGAGAUUGGUCAAAUGUACAAAGACUUGUAAAAAGAGUGAAGGUAGAUGGUAAUUAGGUACAGAGCUAAAAAUUGUGUUUUUAACUUUUUAAAUUGUGUUUUAAUUCUUUGGAAAAGUUUGUCAAAUGUGGCAAAGAAGCUACAAUGGUCUGCUGUCAUCUACAGGAUAAAGUAGUACAUAAAAAAACUUCAUGCAUCAUCUAGUUUUCAGACUCACUUACACCACUUCUUCAUAGCAACACCAAGCUAUGGAUUACCAAAUAUUAACUGUAAUCUGAUUAUAGCUGGACUCUCUUCCUCCAAGAAAGCAUUAUGGGUUUUGUUUACCUUAGAAACAAGUAUUUGUCCUGUGAAGAUAGAUCCCAAAUGAUGUCUCCUCAAAGAAAUAUCCACUGACCAUACCAGGAAGUCAGUAGCUCCCUCAGUUUCUUGCCAGUUUUGACAUUUAUCCAUGCUCUCUCACCUUGUUGAGUACUUGAAGGUAAGUUUUAUCACUCAAGUAAGACUGUGAAUCUUUGAGUGUAAGGAUUACAUAUAUACUUAAAAAAAUUUCUUGGACUUUGAGAGAAACAAUAUAACUUUUUUUAAGGAAGUAUACCUUUGUAUAAUAUCUGUCACAUAUAGUCAGAAUAUCCCACAUGAGGCAGGUUGAAAAAUCUAUUUACACAAGGAAACUCUCCAUGCAUACCAUUGACAUUCAAGAGCCCCUAUAAGGUUCGUUUACCUUGAAUAAUGUGUUUGCUUUCUUGACAAUUCAGAUUGUGAGCUAAUACUACUACUUUUAUCAUCACACUUCAUAAGAAAGAGUUACUUCAGGUACAUCUUGACUCAUAGAGAAGUAUCAAAACCCCCAUUUUCAUUUGAAAGUCUUCAUUUAAUUCAGAACUAAAAUUGGUAGAGGAAAUGAACAAGAAGAUUGACACACUAAUGCAUCCUAUAACAAGUCAGUAUUUCAAGCAUAGAGACCAUAGUUAAGAAUCAAAAAGUAAAAAGGAGCUAGAAAUACAAAGAGAAAAAAAGGGGAAAAGAGACCUUUAUUUGUUUACAGAGUCUAAUCAUUUUUUAUUUUACAUAUAGUUCUAACAGGCUUUUGUUAUUUUCACAGGACUUCUAGACUGAGGAAAAUGAGAGAAGCAAGAAACAUCAGCUCAUCAAUCCAGAAUGUCAGAGAAAGCAAUAUUUUUUUUAAAGGAAAAAGGCUUAGACUAUUCAUGGACCUUUCAAUAUAGUCCUAUUUAAUCUACACUAUUUUUGAAUUAAGAUCUAGUCCUAUUAGGCAUUCCUUUUCUUCUUUGCUACCCUCACAAACAACUACCUUGUCUCCCCCAUCUCUUUUCUCUAGAUCAUUUUCCCGGUCUUUUUUUCUAUUAAUACACAUUGUGCUGUGUCUCAAACCCUUACUGUGGCCUUCAGAGGUGAACACACAUGAAGAAUUGAGUACAGGGCCAAUAUAUGUAUUUAGCCCUGGGUAUAUCACUGCCACACCCCACUCCACAGAGAAAAGGUGCUUUUGGAUCCCAGGAGCUCUCUAGUUCUUCAUGAAGCUCCCAGCUGUGUCCACUUGCCACCUGACUUCUUAUUGUUUCUGUUGCCUAGAUGUCCCCAGUCCCUGCCUACUUGUCCUGCCAGACCACCAGGUCGGUCUGGUCUCAGGGUACAGCUGUUUCUCGCCGUUACUUUCUUCCAUUAUUGACAAUUUCUGGAUAACCUAUGGAAAUUUGUGGUGACAACUUUGAACAACUCUGGGUUUUGUAGCUGGCUCCUUGGAAAUCUCCAGUGAAAUUCCCAGAGUGAUAAGAGCUAAAGAAGUUCAAAGGACCAGCAGAGAUUGCCACAGAAACUGCAGCAUUUUCAAAGCAGUAUUGCUUUUAGGCUAUGAACUACAAUGGGCACAAAGAAUGAUUAUCCCUUUUAAAAAUGCUAUGUUGUGACUCUCGAUACUUGCCUCACUGGUUGUCACAACUGUCUACAGACAGAGUUCUUCAGUGUGUGGUGCAUGGCUCCACACUAUUCUGCCACUCAAGUGAAGGGUAUGCCUAGGGCCUUAGUUUGUGUAAACAUUGUUUUGCUGACUAUGAAUUUUGAACUACUAAUGUUACCACCUUCCACUUAGUGAUAAUUUACUCUUCUAUUCCAUGCUGAUGUUUUAGAUCAAGAUUUUAUGGUAAAAUUUAGGCACUUUUAUGUGCAUUCCUGCUUGCUUAGAUAAAAUUACAACACAUGGCUUAAUUAGUAAGAUGUGUAUGUUCAUGAGGGAAGGCACACUUCCCACCAUUUUUUCCCCCAUUUCCAGGAAAUUGCAUUAUGAAAAUAUUGCUUUGGAAAAGGAAUGGAGCCAUUCCCUGAGUGGAAUUUAUUAUAAUUUAGCAGUUAUAUAAUUGUAAUUGAGCCACUCUAACAAAGGCUACCAUUCAUUUCUGUUGAAGCAUCAUCUAAAAAAAUCUAGCAACAUCUACUGUUGGAACUGAUGCCGGUCUAUUGAGUAGGUAACUAUGCCUGAACACAAAUUUGAAAUCCUUUGGGAACUAACUAUUGUUCUCAUUGUUUAUUAACUAUCUGAAUUUCUAAUAUCCAUUCUUUGAGGUCUUAAGAGAUGAUAGUAUUCAAUGGAAAUACAUGUUGUAGGGAUAACAUGCUGAACUGCUACAACUAAUACUUGAAUGAUAAUAAGUAGUCAACUUGAUGAGAAGUAAUGUUUAGUCAGCUUUUUUUGGUGCUAUGACCAAAAGAGCUGAAAAAUUUUCCUCAUUAAAGGAGGAAAAGUUUAUUUGGGGGCUCACAGUUUCAGAGGUCUCAGGUCAUAGAUGACAGGCACCAUUCCUCGGGGCCCAAAGUGUGGCAGAGCAUCAUGGUGAAAGUGUUUGGCAGAAGACAGCAGCUCAAGAUGUGGCAGCGUGGAAGCAGAGAGAGAUUAUCUGGUCUCCAGGGACAAAAUAUAUACCCUAAAAGCACCCCCCUAGAAACCUACUUCCUUUAGCCACACAAUAACUGCCUAGGGUUGCCACCCAGUUAAUACCAUUCAGGGGAUUAACACACUGAUUAAGGUUAAGACUCUUAUAAUCUAAUCAUCUCACCUCUUAACAUUCUUUCAUUGUUUUACACAUGAGCUUUUGGGGGACACUUCAUAUCUAAACAAUAAAAAGUAGGCCUAUGCAAAUAGUAUAUAGAGAUGUCACCUGGAAGUGACUGAAAAAGUAGAGAGAGGUCUGAAAGUGAGAGCUACAAACUCUAAUGUUUGUCUACUAUCUGUUUAUUAAAGUUAUAAAAAUUUGCUAAACUCUGGUUAUAUAAUUAUUUUGCUGAGCCUUGCUGUAACCAUCUUUAUUCUUUUUAAAAAAGAAUAUGUAUGUUCAUUAAUUUUUUAAAAUAAUAAAAAUUAACAGACCAAUAAUGAGUUCAAGUCAGUAAUAAAAAGUCUCCUAUCAAAGACAAACCCAGGACCAGAUGGCUUCACUACUGAAUUCUAAAAAAGCACUUAUAGAAAAACUAAUACUAAUUCUUAAAGUACACAAAACAUUGAAGAGGAAAGAAUUCUUUCAAAUUGAUUCUGUGAGACCUGUGUUACCUUGCUACCCAAACCAGAUAAGGACACAACAAAAAAAUAAAACUUCAGGCCAAUGUCCUUGAUGAGCAUAGAUGCAAAAAUCCUUGAUAAAAUGCUAGCAAACUGAAUCCAACAGCACAUUAUAAUGUUAUUUACCAUGAUCAAGUGGUACUCAUCCCAGGGAUGCAAUAAUUAUUCAACAUUAGCAAGCCAAUAAAGGUGAUGCAACAUAUCAACAGAAUGAAGGAGAAAACCCAUGUGAUCAUCUUAAUAGAUGCAGAAGAUGAAUUUGAUGAAAUUCAACAUCCAUCAUGAUAAAACUCUGAGCAAAUUGGGUAUAAAAGGAGCAUACUUCAACAUAAUAAAGGUCACAUAUAAUAAGAUAACAGCUUAUAUACAGAAUAGAGAGAAACUGAAAGUUUUCUAAGAUCUGGAACAAAACAAGGAUGUCCACUUUUGCCACAUUUACUCAGUGUUAGAACUGGGUAUCCUAGUCAAAGCAAUCAGGCAAGAGAAAGAAAUAAAGGGUAUUCAAACUGGAAAUGAAGAAGUCAAAUUGUCACUCCUUGAGUGUGAGUAAGUGCAUAUGAGUGUGUGUGUGAGUAUCUGUGAGUGGUUGUGUGUUGAAUGAGUUUGAGUGGGUAUGUGUAUGUAUGUGUGAAUGUGUGUUUGAGUGAGUGUGUGUAUAUAAAAUCAUGUAUAUACAAAGUGUCCACUAAAAAAUCUUAUUAAAACUAAUAAGUGAAUUCAUAAAAAUUUC